AUGGUCAGGUCUGGGUUGGGUGUGAGGUUAAUGGUCAGGUCUGGGUUGGGUGUGAGGUUAAUGGUCAGGUCUGGGUUGGGUGUGAGGUUAAUGGUCAGGUCUGGGUUGGGUGUGAGGUUAAUGGUCAGGUCUGGGUUAAGUAUGAGGUUAAUGGUCAGGUAUGAGGUUAAUGGUCAGGUCUGGGUUAGGUAUGAGGUUAAUGGUCAGGCCUGGGUUAGGUAUGAGGUUAAUGGUCAGGUAUGAGGUUAAUGGUCAGGUCUGGGUUAGGUAUGAGGUUAAUGGUCAGGUAUGAGGUUAGGUAUGAGGUUAAUGGUCUGGGUUAGGUAUGAGGUUCCUGGUCAGGUCUGGGUUAGGUAUGAGGUUAAUGGUCAGGUCUGGGUUAGAUAUGAGGUUAAUGGUCAGGUCUGGGUUAGAUAUGAGGUUAAUGGUCAGGUUUUAAAAUCAGCUUACAGUAUAAGUACCUCUGAUUAGCCUGUAAGCCGAUAGCUACUGUCUGUGGUACAACACAAGAAAACUUUUCAGUUAGCUUUGCCACUGUCCUGUCGGUCUCUCUAUCCUCUCCAAUUCCCAUCUGUCUCACCCUUCUCGCUUUCCUCUUUCUAUCACAUCUGUUUCUCCCUGAACCCUACCUGUUAUUUGGCAAAGAAGGAGAGAGAGAGAGACAGAGCGACAUCAGAGACAGACAGUGACAGAGAGACAGAGACAGACAGUGACAGAGAGACAGAGAGACAGACAGUGACAGAGAGA
ensembl:lncRNA